UACGGAGGGUGCGAGCGUUGUCCGGAAUCACUGGGCGUAAAGGGCGCGUAGGCGGCAUGCCAAGCGUGUGGUGAAAGCCCGGGGCUCAACCCCGGGUCGGCCGUGCGGACUGGCGUGCUCGAGCACUGUAGGGGCGGGUGGAAUUCCGGGUGGUAGCGGUGGAAUGCGUAGAGUAUCAGGAAGAACACCUAUGGCGAAGGCAGCUCUCUGGGACGGUACUGACGGCUGAGACGCGAAAGCGUGGGGAGCGAACAGG
rnacentral:rRNA from 1 species